rnacentral:rRNA from 1 species
GAGCACUCUGAUCCAGCCAUGCCGCGUGCAGGAAGACUGCCCUAUGGGUUGUAAACUGCUUUUAUAGAGGAAGAAACCUCCCUACGUGUAGGGAGCUGACGGUACUCUACGAAUAAGGAUCGGCUAACUCCGUGCCAGCAGCCGCGGUAAUACGGAGGAUCCAAGCGUUAUCCGGAAUCAUUGGGUUUAAAGGGUCCGUAGGCGGGCAGUUAAGUCAGUGGUGAAAGUCUUCCGCUCAACGGGAGAAUUGCCAUUGAUACUGAUUGUCUUGAGUCAUUAUGAAGUGGUUAGAAUGAGUAGUGUAGCGGUGAAAUGCAUAGAUAUUACUCAGAAUACCGAUUGCGAAGGCAGAUCACUAAUAAUGUACUGACGCUGAUGGACGAAAGCGUAGGUAGCGAACAGGAUUAGAUACCCUGGUAGUCUACGCCGUAAACGAUGGUUACUAGCUGUUUGGACGAUUGAGUCUGAGUGGCUAAGCGAAAGUGAUAAGUAACCCACCUGGGGAGUACGUUCGCAAGAAUGAAACUCAAAUG